rnacentral:rRNA from 1 species
UACAGAGGUCUCAAGCGUUGUUCGGAUUCAUUGGGCGUAAAGGGUGCGUAGGUGGCGGGGUAAGUCAGGUGUGAAAUCUCGGGGCUCAACCCCGAAACUGCACUUGAUACUGCCUUGCUCGAGUACUGGAGAGGAGAUUGGAAUUUACGGUGUAGCAGUGAAAUGCGUAGAUAUCGUAAGGAAGACCAGUGGCGAAAGGCGGGGUCUCUGGACAGUUCCUGACACUGAGACACGAAGGCCAGGGGAGCAAACGGGG